AGUGAACGCUGGCGGCAGGCCUAAUACAUGCAAGUCGAACGGCAGCACAGCAGAGCUUGCUCUGUGGGUGGCGAGUGGCGGACGGGUGAGGAAUACGUGGGAAUCUGCCCAGUCGUGGGGAUAACGUAGGGAAACUUGCGCUAAUACCGCAUGCGCCCUUCGGGGGAAAGCCGGGGACCUUCGGGCCUGGCGCGAUUGGAUGAGCCCACGUCGGAUUAGCUAGUUGGCGGGGUAAAGGCCCACCAAGGCGACGAUCCGUAGCUGGUCUGAGAGGAUGAUCAGCCACACUGGAACUGAGACACGGUCCAGACUCCUACGGGAGGCAGCAGUAGGGAAUAUUGGACAAUGGGCGCAAGCCUGAUCCAGCCAUGCCGCGUGAGUGAAGAAGGCCCUCGGGUUGUAAAGCUCUUUUGUCCGGAAAGAAAAGCGCCGGGUUAAUACCCUGGUGUCCUGACGGUACCGGAAGAAUAAGCACCGGCUAACUUCGUGCCAGCAGCCGCGGUAAU
rnacentral:rRNA from 1 species